rnacentral:snoRNA from 1 species
GAUGCCGGACCUGCCGGCACCAUGGCUGCAGCUGCUCUGCUGCACCUGUGACCUUGGGGCAAAGAGGAAGCGGCUAUUUCUACGCUUAGUGCCCAGAACAGUGGGCACUAAGAAUGGUUUGUAGCCGGACAUUG